UUUAUAUCACUGUUAUUUGUACUAAUCAUCAAAGAAUCAAGUUAUGGUGAAUGUCUUUGGCCUAGGUGCCAAAGACGAUAUGAUUGUUAAGUGUCUUUGGUCGGUAUGGCAAGGACACGUGGUGAAGAAUUCUCUUUGGCCCGUAGUGCAAAGAUGGACCGUUGAUUGACAUGAUCAUGAUCAUUGGUGUUACAAUUGAAUAUCUUUUGCCCGUAGUGCAAAGAUGAACUGUUGAUUUGCAUGAUUAUGAUCAUAAAAUAUUUAUUGGUGUUAU
rnacentral:lncRNA from 1 species